CCUUUGCUUUGAUUUUGCCUUCCAUAUCUUUUUCCAUAGGGACCCUUUCUCUGAAAUGAACCCCCUCUCUGUUGUUGCUCUGGCCUUGAAGUAUUUUUGUCAACCAAAUUGAUCUUAGUUUGAAAGGCUCCAAAGGCUGACUAGUAUAUCCGCUCAUUCUUUGUUUAUAUGCUUCAAGAGAGCCCAUUAAUUUAUAUGUUGAGAGCUGAGAGAGAUUUUUAGUUUCCUUAAUAAUAGCAACUACAUAUUCAUAUUUUUAUGGUAAACUUCUGAGAAUUUUUUCAACAACUUUCUUUUCAGCAACAACGUCCCCACAGC
rnacentral:lncRNA from 1 species